rfam:Apaloderma vittatum contig70522, whole genome shotgun sequence.
GUGAAGAUUAGCUCAGUGGUUUGAGCGUGGUGCUGACAACAAUGACAACACCGAGGUCGCAGGUUCGAUUCCCGCUCGGUACC